CAAUAAAAGAAAAAAGAAAAGAAAAGAAAAGAGAGAACAUAAUGAAUGAUAUAUAUAUAUAUAUAUAUAUAUCAUUCAUUAUGUUCUCUCUUUUCUUUUCUUUUCUUUUUUCUUUUAUUGGCGUCGUAAUACGUAAUAUUGGUAUGAUAA
rnacentral:ribozyme from 1 species